rfam:Stegodyphus mimosarum contig73288, whole genome shotgun sequence.
GCCUUCGUGGUGUAAUGGUUAGCACACUGAGCCGGUAAUUCAGAGGUCCGUGGUUCGAUCCCCGGCGAAGGCA